rnacentral:rRNA from 1 species
GUGAGGAAUAUUGCGCAAUGGAGGCAACUCUGACGCAGCCAUGCCGCGUGCAGGAAGAAGGCGCUACGCGUUGUAAACUGCUUUUAACCGGGAAGAAACACCAGGACGUGUCCUGGGUUGACGGUACCGGAGGAAUAAGCACCGGCUAACUUCGUGCCAGCAGCCGCGGUAAUACGAAGGGUGCAAGCGUUAUCCGGAUUCAUUGGGUUUAAAGGGUGCGUAGGCGGAGCGUUAAGUCAGUGGUGAAAUCCUGCAGCUUAACUGUAGACUUGCCAUUGAUACUGGCGCUCUUGAGUGCGCUUGAAGUGGGCGGAAUGUGCCGUGUAGCGGUGAAAUGCUUAGAUAUGGCACAGAACACCAAUUGCGAAGGCAGCUCACUAAGGCGAUACUGACGCUGAGGCACGAAAGCGUGGGGAUCGAACAGGAUUAGAAACCCCAGUAGUCC